UACAACGCACUACCUGUUCAUAGUAGUCGUUGCUGUCAACAGCACACUGCUCACCAUCAACGCAGGGGACUACAUCUUCUACACCGACUGGGCGUGGACGUCCUUCGUUGUGUUCUCGGUGUCGGAGUGGUAAAUGCGUUCUGUAGGCCCAAUAUCCUACAUGUUUUCCACAGGUGUUCGAGGCAGCUCCGCCUUAUACGCCACUAGCAUGGCCCUCUCACCGUUGGUGACCAAGGUGGGGUGGAUUGCAUUUGGAUCCUCGUACCUAGUCGGCGACAAGCCGCAACAAGCACGCUGCACGACUGAUUGGCGGUACGGUGGUUGGCCUAUCCUUCCCGCUGUUCAACAUGUGCAACCUGUUGCUUGUAAGGGACCCGCUCGAGGUGGCCUUCAAGUAUCCGAGACCGACUCUGCCCGCGUACAUGACGCCUAUAGGGCCUCAGGUAGGGAAGUUCUACAACUCGCCUGUCGCCCUGGGUGCAGGUGCCGGUGCAGUGCUAACGGUACCCAUCGCUGCGUUGGGUGCAAAACUAAACACGUGG
rnacentral:rRNA from 1 species